ensembl:snRNA U6 U6 spliceosomal RNA
UUGCUUCAGCAGCACAUAUACUAAAAUUGGAAAGAUACAGAGAAGAUUAGCAUGGCCCCUGUGCAUGGAUGACAUGCAAAUUCCAUAAUUUUAUGACUAGGUU